ACAGGGGGAUAGAGCACCUUUCCCUCACAGAAACCCAGUGCGGAGCUGUCCCCUCCGCCCUGCAUCCUGUCGUGAGGCACAAGCGGUCCCUCUCCCGGCCCCCUCCCUGGCCCCCGUCGCUGCUCCGGGCUGACUUCUCUCUGCCUCCGCAGUAUGUGGCGUGGGCCGCACGCACACCCAUGGCGGCUGUCCGGCGGGGAGGAAGGCGGCAGAAAGCGUCCCGAGGUACCGGCAAGGCCUUCAAAUGCCCCCGAAUGCUUUGUCUGCUGGCCUGCCGUGAUCGGCUGCUCCUGGCGUGGGCAGGAGGCAAAGCACAGUAGGCCUUGCCAGUGGGAAGCGUUGGGGAUCUGGAGUCGUGCCUUUGAACGCCUAUAGAUGUCCCACUUCAUGUUUGAAAUAUUCUAGACAUGGAUGAUCACACCUAAAUUAGAAGCAAUGCUCAGGACUUCUUAGGAAUGAAUAAUACCUUCUGCUAGAAGGUUUCUCAAGUGUGUUGGAGCUUUAUGAACCUAUGUGGUAAACAUCUUGAGUGAAAACAGUUCCUUGUAAAUUGGUUGGUCUCCAGUUUCCCAUGCUCUGCCAGCAAGCAGGUGUGCAAGAAGCUGGGAGGGAGCAGAGCCAGGGCAGCUGACCCAAACUAGCCAAAGGGAUGUUCCAUACCAUAGAACGUCAUGCCCAGUAUAUAAACUGGGGGCAGCUGGUCGGGAGGGGCGGAUUGCUGCUCGGGCAUGAGUCAGUGGGUGGUAAGCAUUGUGCAUCACUGUUUUUUGGUUUUUUUUUUUUCCUUUUUUUUCCCCUCUUCUUUUUUUGUUAUAUUCCUUUUCAUUACUAUUAUUAUUAUUAUUACAUUUCAUUAUUAUUAUUGUCAGUAUUACAUUUUACUUUAGUUAUUAAACCAUUCUUAUCUCAA